rnacentral:rRNA from 1 species
UACAGAGGGUGCAAGCGUUGUUCGGAAUUAUUGGGCGUAAAGCGCGUGUAGGCGGCUUUGCAAGUCGGGUGUGAAAUCCCUCGGCUCAACCGAGGAAGUGCGCCCGAAACUGCAGAGCUUGAGUACCGGAGAGGAUGGCGGAAUUCCCGAAGUAGAGGUGAAAUUCGUAGAUAUCGGGAGGAACACCGGUGGCGAAGGCGGCAUCCUGGACCGACACUGACGCUGAGGAGCGAAAGCCAGGGGAGCAAACGGG